GAGGAGGCAAACGUCACAGGAGUUAACAGUUUGCAAGCAGUGCCCUGCCAGGUUCUACAGCUACAGUAAACGCUGACACUCCAGGGGUCAACCCUGGAUGGGGGCCUCCAUGAAGACUGCUUCUGAGUUACCAAGGGGACUAUUGCAGUCAAGACACAGGACAGAUGCUACUUUAGCCAAGUGAUCCCAGCUCACACCACUAUCACCGAGACAUCACAUCAUGUACCUGUGGAUCAGAUGGCCAGAGCAGGGCGGCCAUCUCUCCUGUGGCAUCUCUGUUCCAGGUCAUAUCAUAAGGAAGCCAUCAACCCCCAACCGAGCUUUCUGCAAAACACUGCCCUGUAGUCUAAAAAGACUAGGUCCAGGCGCCUCUGUGGGUCAAGAGAGCACCAGGAACUUAGGCCUCCAGCUCCUAAGGGACCAGACAGAACUCUACAGUGAGGUCUUCUGGCCCAGUGGCCCCACAGACUCUGCCUCAGUUCCUGCCUCCAGGUUCCUGCCUUGCUUCGGUUCCUGUCCUGACUUCAUUCAAUGAAGACCAGUGCUGUGGAAGAGCUCCCUGAGGUCCAUAAUAAGAAUUACACUUGGUUAUCGCCAAAAAGGAGCAUACACCGUGUCUCACACCGGCCGCAGCACUUAACCAUCUGCAGGGACCAGAACCUCCAUGGCUCCUUAUUGUAUGGCCUGCAACCAUUCUCCAAGGUCACCCAGAGUGAAAAUCUACACUUUCUUCUGCCUCUUGAGUUUGCUGUGGCCAUAUGAUCUAGCCAAGGGGGCGUAAGAACUGUGCAUGUGACUGCUUCCAGAAAAACUUAAAGAACACGUGCUGCAUAUCCUUAACUUUUUCCUUUCCCUUCUGUUUCUACCAUUCAGUGGAUGGCUGGAGCUCUUUCAGCCACCCUGAAUGGAGGGGACCAGGGCUGCUCUCUGAGCCUGGCAGGAAGCUAACCUAAAAGGAUUCUGGGUCACUGAAGACUGACAAGCCCUCGCCUCAUGUUUCUCCUGAAAAAUGCACACCUGGAUUUGUUUUACGUGAGGGAAACGUAAGUUGGCAUCUUAGUGAAUCCACCAUCAUCCUGGAGUUCAUUAGCUUAAGUCAAUGUGAAAAUCAAGCUGUAAACCACAGACUCUGAACUCCACAAAUGUGCCAGGAUGCGUCAAGGCACAACACUAGUAGGUCUGAGCAAAGUAGGGGGAAGAGUCAAGGGAUAGAUUGGAAAUCCCGAGUGUUUCCUUGUCUUUGCAGUCCACUAUCCCUGUGUUUGGUGAAACUCUUUAGGGACACCAAGCCCUCAUCAUGUGACAUGACACCACUCCUGUGACGGCAUUGAUGCAGAGCCCACAACUCAACGAGGCUCAGCACCUGGAGGAAGCAGUCGGACGAACAAACCGCACCAGCCACUUCUGCUCAGUCUAAACCCCACGGGAGGAAGCUGGGCGAGAAAAGAAAACCCAGCACAAUUUGCCUGCCUAGCACCAGUUCCCAAACCUGCUGGUUUUAAAUGUGAUAAAAGCACGACUUUUGGAAGAUAUUUUUUUGGCAGUUCUGCAAGCCUUAGCUCUUUGAGAGAGGGGGGUGGAAGCAGAAGUAGAUGGCCGAAAAAAAAUGGAUUCUGCUCUGUCGCCCUGGGAGAAUGAGGCACACUGUUAUUACAGUCCGUUAGAGUGGCCUGGAGGGGCAGAGAGUCACUAAAUAUGUGAAAGCAAAAAGUAAAAGCAGAAAAACAGGAUCAAGUCGGUGACUGAUAGCUGUAUUUAGAAAUGUGUGAUAGACAACUGGGUUCACUAAAGUCGUGACUUAAAAACCAUUAACUGAAAUGUUCAGUUUGUCCUUUCUUAAUGAACAUAAAUCAGAGCACUCCCCGUCUUUAUGAACAAUAUGAAGAACAGGGAAUGGGGGGCAUGGCUGGGUGCUAAGGUUCAAGAUUAGCUGAUCUGAUGGCUAGUGUUAGUUGUCAAUUUAACAGAAUCUAGAACCAACCGGGAGUCUCUGGGCGUGCCUGUGGGGGGCUAUUUUGGUUUGCUGGAGGUGGAAAGACUCAACCACUGUGAGUGGCCCCAUUCCAUGGCUGGGACCCUGAACCGUGUGAGUGGGAAGAAUGCUGAGCAGUGGCCUGUAUUCACCCCUCUCUGCUUCCUGUAGUGGAUGCAACAUGACCAGUUGUGUGAGGCGCUCCUGCUGCCUUGACCCCCUCCCCGUCACGGAGUGUACCCUUGACCUGUGAACCGGAACAAACUGCUUCUCCCUUAAAUUGCUUUCUUCAGGGGAUUUUUCUCAUAGCAACAGGAAAAGAAACUAAGAUAGCAGGUAUGAGAACCAGGGUUUGAUCCCCAGAACAAAGGAAGGAAGAGCAAGAACUGGGGAAAUGGGAGAGGAAGAAGCAGGGAAAGAGAGGGGGGUAAAAAGGAAAGGAACACGGAAAUGAUUCAAAGGCACGAAUGCCUGGACAGCUGUGGGUGGUGCCAAAUUAACGAGUGCCAAGUCCUUAGGUCCUGGUGAGACAUGGCAGGCCGCCACUGAGUAUCUAUUAUUGAAAAAUAUCAAU